UAAAAUAAUCCAAUUAAAAUUAGAGUGCAAAAUGU
rnacentral:misc_RNA from 1 species